UUUAAUUCAUAAACCCUUUAAACUGUCUAUUUCUUUUAGGCUAACCGUGUAUAUAAGACCUUUUGCAUACAAAUGUUGGGCACAGCUAAAGCCUCUUUAUACAGAAUUAAUGUGAGAAUCCUCCAUUUGUGCAGCAACUCAAGAAUUUCCUAACAUUUUAUGGAACCCAAAGGGAUUAAAUAGCCUUGAUGACGAAGGACAAUACCUUGGGAGUUUCUCCUAUGAUAUCGAUAGCAGCCCUCUGCAGCACUUUACAAUUCCGGAACCAGCAGCAAUUCCAUUUCGCUUCAUUGAGCUCAAGAUAUACAACAAUCACGGCAAAGAAAGUUAUACAUGCCUUUAUCGCUUCAGAGUACAUGGAACUCUGGAGCCUCCUGAGCAAGCAUAAACACUGUCCAACUGACGGGGAAUAAUGCUGCCUUAUGAACACAAGCUAAAUGUCUAUGGUAAUGACGUGUAAUGUGUACUCCAGGAGUGAAAAAUGUGAUGUCUGUAGUGCAACAGAAUUUUUGGGACACUGAAAUACCCACAUAAUAUAAUAUUACAAGGCAGCUGAAAACUGGAAUAGUGCAGCCAGAGGAGACGACCGUUGAUAGGUAAUGGCCGAUAUGCACGAUUCUGUGGCAGUGAAUACAUGAUGCUACCAGAGAAAUGGUGGAAAUGGCAUUUCCUACUUGGUGUGACCUGAGGCUGCAUACCUAGACCACCCAGCCAGUUGCUUCAACCUCAACAUAUUCAAUAACAAUUCUAAUAAUAUCUAUUUACAGAUCUCUUACUGUGAAUCUACUGAAUCUAACACACAGUGUUACAUUAACACUAUAUGUUGGAUUCAGUAUAGUUUCUAGGCCCUUUAAAAAAACGUAUGGCUUAACUAGUAGUGUGUACCAGUGUUUAGACAUAGGCCUUGCAAUGAGCUCGUCACUCACCAAAGGAGUCCUACCAUCUGCAAAAAAUGAUUACAUAACUGAAUAAGAGGCCAGGGCCCUGAAUUUAAAUUAAAAUAAUAUACCCUUAAAUGAACAGUGUGGGUUCAGCAGUAAUUCAUCAACAGCAUUGGCUUCUUUCAAAUUAAUAAACGAAAUUUUGUUAGCCAUGACUAAUAAAUUAACUGUGGGUAGUAUAUUGCAUAUGGUGGUAUAACCAUGAUAUCUGCAUAUGGCUCUACAUCCCUUGUGGACCUUGGCCAGUUUUUCAGUUUCUUGAUCUAUACACAGUCAGUAGGACUCCUUGGACAUUGGAUCAGCCUGCCGCAAGGCCACUGCCUAUACACAGAAUGACACAAACAGAUAAAUACACAAAUCAAAUUUGUUAUCAAUCAAUCUUUUGAAGACUUUUACUAUGCAAUUUAUAACCAAAAACUCUGUUCCUACCAAGGCCUCCAUUUUCUGUAUAAUCUAUCUGCAUAAUAGCUUUACUGUAUUUACAAUAGUACUUAUUGUCUUUUAUAUCAUUUAUUUUAUUGCUUUAUAAUUUUGACAUGUUCUAAUUAUUUACUUGAGCUCAACUUGUACCUUAACUGUACUUAUGAUUGUAUUGUACUUUUAUGUUCUUCUGCUUAUUGUGACAUAUUUUAAUAAAUGUUCUAUUUAUCCUUUCUGGUUCCAUUCUAAUCAUAUGCCUUAACCACUCUUUCUCCUUUCAAUGUCUGCUAUUAGGUCAAGGAUUUUCUAUAAUUCCCUUGGUUCUUGGUUGGUGCUAAGAAUGCUUGUACAGUUACCAAUAACAUUUUAUUUGCAUAUUAGAACUGAAAAGGAAUUUAUUUGGCCCAUAUUUGUUACACAAUGUACGAUGAACCAUGCGAGUGGCAUUAUCUUCAUUUUCAGUUGCAACCAAACUUAAUAGACAUUCAUUUUACACUACAGUAUAGCUAUUUUUUGCAGGCUUAGCCAAGCAAAACUCUGAAAAAAAUAAAGAGAAAGUGAGUAUUUCCUGUACCAUUAACAUUAUGAAAGAGGCUAAAUACUGAAGACAAUGAAGUAACUUGGGAAGAGUUUUCACAUGCCUAAUGGCGGAGGUAAAGAGGACACACCGAAAUACAUACAUACAUACAUACAUAGCUACAUGGUUUCACAGAUCCUUUGUCCGGAGACCGGACUGGAUAUUGAACUCGUCACAGCCAAACUGACAUUGCAAUGUGCAACCAGGUCUAGACAAUAAAAUAUUCAACAAUUAUAACAUUGAUAGGUACAACAGUAUAAAAAUCAGUCAUCUUACAAUUCUUGGCUAGAACAUAGUCUUAGAAAACAGACUGUAACAGUGCAUAAAAUUACCUACUUGCCAUAUAUUCACCUACCGAGUAAAAUGCUUUUGAAGCCAGAAAAUCCUUUAGUCUUUGUUUAAAAAUAUUAAUAUUGUCUUUCAAGAUAUAUAUGUUUUGUGGCAGGUUGUUAAAUAUUCUAAUAGAUGUAAAAUGCACACCCUUCUGAAUGGAAGAUAAUCUCACAGAAGAAACAUGUAGCCUAUUGUGCCAUCUGGUACUUAUUUGAUGUAUGUUAUCGUUUGCUUGGUACAUAUUAUAAUUUUUAAUUACAAA